rnacentral:rRNA from 1 species
UUGACAUCCAGCGAACUUGGCAGAGAUGCCUUGGUGCCUUCGGGAACGCUGAGACAGGUGCUGCAUGGCUGUCGUCAGCUCGUGUUGUGAAAUGUUGGGUUAAGUCCGCAACGAGCGCAACCCUUAUCCUUUGUUGCCAGCGAUUCGGUCGGGAACUCAAAGGAGACUGCCGGUGAUAAACCGGAGGAAGGUGGGGAUGACGUCAAGUCAUCAUGGCCCUUACGAGUAGGGCUACACACGUGCUACAAUGGCGCAUACAAAGAGAAGCGACCUCGCGAGAGCAAGCGGACCUCAUAAAGUGCGUCGUAGUCCGGAUCGGAGUCUGCAACUCGACUCCGUGAAGUCGGAAUCGCUAGUAAUCGUGGAUCAGAAUGCCACGGUGAAUACGUUCCCGGGCCUUGUACACACCGCCCGUUACACCAUGGGAGUGGGUUGCAAAAGAAGUAGGUAGCUUAACCUUCGGGAGGGCGCUUACCACUUUGUGAUUCAUGACUGGGGUGAAGUCGUAACAAGGUAGGCGUAGCGAG